rnacentral:rRNA from 1 species
AGCGAACGCUGGCGGCAUGCCUAACACAUGCAAGUCGCACGGGGGGGCUUCGGCCUCCCAGUGGCGGACGGGUGAGGAACGCGUAGGGACCUGUCGAGGGGUGGGGGAUAACCGCGGGAAACUGCGGCUAAUACCGCAUGACGCCGCGGCGUGACAGCCGGGGCCAAAGGCGAAAGCCGCCCGCCGAGGGGCCUGCGUCCGAUUAGCUGGUUGGCGGGGUAGCGGCCCACCAAGGCGUCGAUCGGUAGCCGGUCUGAGAGGGUGAUCAGCCACACCGGGACUGAGACACGGCCCGGACUCCUACGGGAGGCAGCAGUGGGGAAUAUUGGACAAUGGGCGCAAGCCUGAUCCAGCAAUGCCGCGUGGGUGAAGAAGGUCUUCGGAUUGUAAAGCCCUUUCGGCGGGGACGAUGGUGACGGUACCCGCAGAAGAAGCCCCGGCUAACUUCGUG